rnacentral:rRNA from 1 species
GUGGGGAAUAUUGGACAAUGGGCGAAAGCCUGAUCCAGCCAUGCCGCGUGUGUGAAGAAGGUCUUCGGAUUGUAAAGCACUUUAAGUUGGGAGGAAGGGCAGUAAGUUAAUACCUUGCUGUUUUGACGUUACCGACAGAAUAAGCACCGGCUAACUUCGUGCCAGCAGCCGCGGUAAUACGAAGGGUGCAAGCGUUAAUCGGAAUUACUGGGCGUAAAGCGCGCGUAGGUGGUUUUGUAAGUUGGAGGUGAAAUCCCCGGGCUCAACCUGGGAACUGCCUCCAAAACUGCAUGACUAGAGUAUGGUAGAGGGUAGUGGAAUUUCCUGUGUAGCGGUGAAAUGCGUAGAUAUAGGAAGGAACACCAGUGGCGAAGGCGACUACCUGGACUGAUACUGACACUGAGGUGCGAAAGCGUGGGGAGCAAACAGGAUUAGAAACCCCAGUAGUCC